GUUCCCGGCUCCCUCUCCCCUCCUCUCCCCGCCUCCUCUCCUUUUCCCAUCUCUUCUCCGGCUCUCCUUUUUUCUCUCCUCCUGGAGACCCAGUCGGCGCCUCCAGGGUGCAGAACAGAAAACCGAGGCAGCAAGGUCCCACGAGCCAUGUCCGUGUCCCCCGGCCUCCGGUCACUUUCCGUCUUUCCUCCGCCCCCACCCCGAGUCUCUCUCUCGAUCGCUGUCCCCUUGUCCCUCGGUUCGUCCCAACCUCUGUCCCCGGCUCCACCAGUCCUCCCGCACACACGGAGCCGACUCCGCCCUGUCCAGCCACCACGCCCCCUUUGUGCCCACCUGACACUUGCCCCGAGGCGUCCUCAGUCACCGGCGUUGGCUGGCGAUUUCCAGGGCCCUACAGCUCCCUCCCGCCGGGUCUGACCGGGAGCUGGAUCCUGCCAGGCUCGGGUGGGGCUGGAGGUCACCUGAUCUGCCACAUAUGCUGGACAAGAGGCCACAUCUGCGAAUUUCAUCUGGUGGAAAGACAGAGGCUGGAGGAGGUGGAGCUGUUGCCCCAAAGCCAAAAGAGCCAAAGCACGAGGGAUAGAACAGAGCACCGGACACAUCCGUUAUGCUCCUGGGUCAUAAGGAAAUGGGCCCCCUGCCCCUGUGGCGCAGGACAGGUCCCUGCAACACAAGUGCCAGAGGAGGAUCCAGGCAGGUGGACCAGGCCCUGCCUUGCCCCAGCCUGACCUCCCGGCUAUAAACCACAGCCAGCUCUGAGCACUGAUGUCACCUGUGCUGGGACUUCCUGAACCUUCACCUUGGAUCUGCCCAGACCCACAGGGAAAUUCCAAGCCAGGCGGGGACCAGC
ensembl:lncRNA